CCUACGGGAGGCAGCAGUGAGGGAUAUUGCACAAUGGGGGGAACCCUGAUGCAGCGACGCCGCGUGUGGGAAGACGGUCCUCUGGAUUGUAAACCACUGUCCCCAGGGACGAAAAUGACGGUAUCUGGGGAGGAAGCUCCGGCUAAACACGUGCCAGAAGCCGCGGUAAUACGUGGGGAGCGAGCGGUGUACGGAAUUACUGGGUGUAACGGGAGCGUAGGCGGGGGUGCAAGUUGGGUGUAAAAACUACCGGCUAAACUGGGCGUCGCACUCAAUACUGGAGCGCUUGAGUGAAGUAGAGGCAGGCGGAAUUCCUAGUGUAGCGGUGAAAUGCGGAGAUAUUAGGAGGAACACCAGGGGCGAAGGCGGGCUGCUGGGCUUUUACUGACGCUGAGGCUCGAAAGUGUGGGGAGCAAAAAGGAUUAGAUACCCGGGUAGUC
rnacentral:rRNA from 1 species